GAUCUGAAGUGGAGCUAUCCAAGCUCGUGGAUUUAGGGAGUCCACCCUACAAGAACGGCCGCCUGUGACAGAAAGCAGGGGCGAGAGUCCGGGAACAGAGCUGUGCUCAUGGCAAAACAAAGACGUGCUGUUUUUCUGGCUCUUGUGUUCUCUCCAGUGGUGAACAAACAUAGGAAGCUUUCAUCUUUCGAGUAAACAGAAAUUCCAAACCCAUUUCACGCAGCUUUUUCUAGAAGGCAAUGUGUUUAAUCCACUUGUUUUCCGAGUCUCUUACUGUCAUCAUGACUUCCUCUUAUGUCUGUGUUAAUUACUGUCACAGGUAUUUGCGAAAACUGCAAGGUCUGUUCAGGUCAAGACUAGCUUCUCUAUUUUUUCACAUUUUACUUGGUGUUUCCACAACGGGGCUAUUAUUUUUAGAGCCUUGCAGAGGAGAACUGAUUUGAAUCAGGAAAAGCGAGAGGUCCCGUCACGGAGGUGGACAGGACGCCCAUUCCCUUCCCAGGCUGGCCUCCUCGUCUCACCCCACGAGGGAAGGGCAAGGGGGCAUGGACCAGCAGGCCAGUUGUUCAGUGUUCAGGAAUCUCAGGAGACACUGUUAAACAUUAAAUUAUAUAAACAAUUAAGUUGUAUUAAAAACAAAAGUCUUUAAAAACACCUACUCAAAACGUCUUUCUUCCCGAUUGCCUUGCUGUGUGUUUCGCCGCAGUCUGUCUUUCGAGGAUCGUGUGUGUGCGGCAGGAAGGCAAGGUUCUGGCGAGGAUCCUAACCAGAGGCUGCUGCGUCCUGGGUGCUGUGUGUAUAGGGCCCGCCGAGUCCAGAGGCUGCUGCGUCCUGGUGCUGUGUCCAGAGGCUGCUGCGUCCUGGUGCUGUGUGUAUAGGGCCCCCGCCGAGUCCAGGGUGGGUGGCAGAGACGCAUCCAGAGGCCCCCAGUAAGUUUAGCAUCGCCCGCUCGGCUGAGGACUCUGGAAGAUGAGUUCCUGGUGACAUACCAGAUAGAAACGUGCUCAAAUGAUAUCCACAUGAUUUGGGUUGGUUUAUUAAGUUGUUCUUUUAAUGUUCUUUUUAAAAAAGAUUUGAUCUCAGUAUAAACAAACUGCCUAAUUUUUUUCAGCUAGUUCACACGGACAUUCAGUGUGCGUUCAUAAGCUGGUCCUGUUCCCCUCUUCUUGCUCGAGGCCGGAAGGACUUCCCACGCACCAGGUCAUGUUGGCGUAAAUAUAGUUACACUGUAUUAUGUAAAUAUAGUUACCAGCGCAGUUGUUAACAGUUCUGCCAAUAAAUAUUUAUUGCUUUGAUCUGCGUUUGAUAAUCAAACUGAGAUUUAAAACACAGUGGCCCGGAAGGAUCAAAGGUAAUUGUAAUGAUGCUUUCCUUAUUCCUUCAGCCCACAGGUCUUUUUCGAUGUUGUUGGGAGGUGGAGUGGGGAUGACGGCCCCUUCGCCACAGUUUCCCUUUCUGUGAUUUCAGUUACUCGAGGUAACUGAGGUAUGAAAGUGUUAACAGGAAAAUUGCAGAAAUAAACAAUUCCCAAGUUUUAACUUGUGCAUCCUUCUGCGGAGCGUGGUGAAAUCUGGCGCUGCCCGCUCGGUCCCACCUGGACUGAACCCUCCCUUGGUCCAGCGUCUCCAGGCUGCGGACGCUCCCCGCCCCGUUAUGGCCUCUCAGUUGUCAGAUCCACGGUCCAGGGGUCGCGGUGCUUGUGUUCAAGGAACCCUCAUUUGACUUCAUCAUGGCCCCAAAGCACAAGAGCAGUGAGCCUGGCGGGAAGGUGCUCCUUUAGGUUAAAAGUGAAAGUUCUCGACUUAAUAAGGAAAAAGAAAACGGUACGCUCAGGUUGCCAAGAUCUCCAGUCAGAUGGAAUGUUCUGUCUGUGAAACUGGGGACAGCAUAUUAUUAUAAUUGUUCUAUUUUGUUAUUAGUUAUUGCUAAUCUCUUACUGUGCCUAAAUUAUAAAUUAAACUUUAUCAGGGUGUGUGUUCAUAGGGAAAACAUCGUGUACAUAGGGUUUGGUACUCUCUUGGUUUCAGGAAUCCCUGCAGGUCUUGGAGGUACCCCUGAGGAUAAGGGGGAUGCUACACCCUCACCAUUGCACACCUUAAGUCGGCCACUUGUCAGCAGGUGUGGCCCCGGCUGGAACGUUGUGGCUCAUUCUAGCUGUGCUUUUAGAAAAGCCUUGAGAUGCACCUGCGUGGCCAGGUUGCACGGUGAACCUGCCGCAGGGGUGGGGCCUCCCCAGGGACAUUUUGGCCAAGCUGGCAGCAGCUGUUUGAGUUCGUGACCGUGAUAGAAGAUAGAAAGCAACAGGAAACAGUCCCUGUUAUCGAGGCAUUUUCACUACGAUCAUGGAGACUCGUGCUUAUGAAGUGUAUGUGUGUUUUAAGUGUGUGGGAAACCUUCACAGGGCAGCUAACUGCAGACCUCCCAACGCCCUUCUCCUCCUCUGCCCAGCUCGGGGUGGGCUUCUGGGCCGGGUCCUGCUGGCCUCCUGUCGCAGAGAGGUUGGGAUCUGUACUGCGGGACUGGCGUUUCUGCAUCAUUCCUGAUGCCUGACGCUGAGAUUAGGAAAUGGGUCUCUGAAGCUGAGAAGCGGUUUCUGAGAGUAUGAGCUGUGACCUGACAGGCCGCUGUUGGAAAGACAGCUGACGGCCAGGCCUUUGUGAGAACUGUCUCUGUGGGCCUCCGAGACUGCCGUGCGCCUGAUGGAACAAACGCUCGCUGACAGGAGGUGUCUUCAGUCCCAGCCGGGGUUCAGAGGAGACCACGAUAAACUCCUUCAGGAUGCUGCUCCAUCAUUUUCCUCACCUGAAGAUGAAAGUUAGCUACGGACGGGGUGUCUUGGGUGUGACACAGGCCGGAAAUGUGCGGGAGUGGUUCGUUGUUCUUCCCCUUAACUCCUGUGUCCUUGCGGUACAAUUCCAUUGCUGUGAAGUCGUGACCUCCAAACCCAGUUAUGCUCAGCUAAGUUCCAUGGAAUAAAGUUCAUAAAACGUAAAACAUCA